CAAUAGCGUAUAUUAAAGUUGUUGCAGUUAAAAAGCUCGUAGUUGGAUUUCUGGCUGGAGCGAUCGGUCCGCCCCGCAAGGGGUGUGUACUAGCGUCGUCUCCGACCAUCCUUGUGGGAACUGUGCGGCCGUUAACUCGGUUGUAUAUGGGGAACUACAUACGUUUACUGUGAAAAAAUUAGAGUGUUUAAAGCAGGCUUAAGCCGUUGAAUACAUUAGCAUGGAAUAAUAAGAUAAGACUUUGGGUCAUUAUUUUGUUGGUUUGCGGAUCGAGGGUAAUGAGUUAAUAGGGAUAGUUGGGGGUAUUCAUAUUCAAUUGUCAGAGGUGAAAUUCUUGGAUUUAUGGAAGAUGAACUACUGCGAAAGCAUUUACCAAGGUAUGUUUUCAUUAAUCAAGAACGAAAGUUA
rnacentral:rRNA from 1 species